UACGAAGGGUGCAAGCGUUACUCGGAAUUACUGGGCGUAAAGCGUGCGUAGGUGGUGAGUUAAGUCUGUCGUGAAAGCCCCGGGCUCAACCUGGGAAUGGCGAUGGAUACUGGCUCGCUAGAGUGCGGUAGAGGAGAGUGGAAUUCCCGGUGUAGCAGUGAAUGCGUAGAGAUCGGGAGGAACAUCAGUUGCGAAGGCGGCUCUCUGGACCAGCACUGACACUGAGGCACGAAAGCGUGGGGGAGCAAACAGG
rnacentral:rRNA from 1 species